rnacentral:rRNA from 1 species
UACAGAGACUGCAAGCUUUAUUCGGAUUCACUGGGCGUAAAGGGUGCGCAGGUGGUCGUGUGUGUCAGAUGUGAAAUCCCGGAGCUUAACUCCGGAACUGCGUCUGAAACUGCACGACUAGAGCAUUGGAGAGGGUAGUGGAAUUCACGGUGUAGCAGUGAAAUGCGUAGAUAUCGUGAGGAACACCAGAGGCGAAGGCGACUACCUGGACAAUUGCUGACACUCAGGCACGAAAGCAUGGGGAGCAAAAGGG